rnacentral:rRNA from 1 species
GGUUAAGCGACUAAGCGUACACGGUGGAUGCCCUGGCAGUCAGAGGCGAUGAAGGACGUGCUAAUCUGCGAAAAGCGUCGGUAAGGUGAUAUGAACCGUUAUAACCGGCGAUGUCCGAAUGGGGAAACCCAGUGCAAUUCGUUGCACUAUCGUUAACUGAAUACAUAGGUUAACGAGGCGAACCGGGGGAACUGAAACAUCUAAGUACCCCGAGGAAAAGAAAUCAACCGAGAUUCCCCCAGUAGCGGCGAGCGAACGGGGAGCAGCCCAGAGUCUGAAUCAGCUUGUGUGUUAGUGGAACGGUCUGGAAAGUCCGACGGUACAGGGUGAUAGUCCCGUACACCAAAAUGCACAGGCUGUGAACUCGAAGAGUAGGGCGGGACACGUGGUAUCCUGUCUGAAUAUGGGGGGACCAUCCUCCAAGGCUAAAUACUCCUGACUGACCGAUAGUGAACCAGUACCGUGAGGGAAAGGCGAAAAGAACCCCGGCGAGGGGAGUGAAAAAGAACCUGAAACCGUGUACGUACAAGCAGUGGGAGCACCUUCGGGUGUGACUGCGUACCUUUUGUAUAAUGGGUCAGCGACUUAUAUUCUGUAGCAAGGUUAACCGUAUAGGGGAGCCGCAGGGAAACCGAGUCUUAACUGGGCGUUAAGUUGCAGGGUAUAGACCCGAAACCCGGUGAUCUAGCCAUGGGCAGGUUGAAGGUUGGGUAACACUAACUGGAGGACCGAACCGACUAAUGUUGAAAAAUUAGCGGAUGACUUGUGGCUGGGGGUGAAAGGCCAAUCAAACCGGGAGAUAGCUGGUUCUCCCCGAAAGCUAUUUAGGUAGCGCCUCGUGAACUCAUCUUCGGGGGUAGAGCACUGUUUCGGCUAGGGGGUCAUCCCGACUUACCAACCCGAUGCAAACUACGAAUACCGAAGAAUGUUAUCACGGGAGACACACGGCGGGUGCUAACGUCCGUCGUGAAGAGGGAAACAACCCAGACCGCCAGCUAAGGUCCCAAAGUCAUGGUUAAGUGGGAAACGAUGUGGGAAGGCACAGACAGCCAGGAUGUUGGCUUAGAAGCAGCCAUCAUUUAAAGAAAGCGUAAUAGCUCACUGGUCGAGUCGGCCUGCGCGGAAGAUGUAACGGGGCUAAACCAUGCACCGAAGCUGCGGCAGCGA